rnacentral:rRNA from 1 species
GGACUACCGGGGUAUCUAAUCCCGUUUGCUCCCCUAGCUUUCGCGUCUCAGCGUCAGCAGACGUCCAGGACCUCGCUUUCGCCACGGGCGUUCCUUCCGAUCUCAACGCAUUUCACCGCUCCACCGGAAGUUCCAGGUCCCCCUACGUCCCUCCAGAGGGGUCGUUUCGGACCCACUUCCCCGGUUGAGCCGGGGGCUUUCAGUAUCCGACGUUCCCAUCCGCCUACACGCGCUUUAAGCCCAGUGAUUCCGAAUAACGUUCGCACGGUUCGUCUUACCGCGGCUGCUGGCAC